UGUGUAUUAAAUUGCAUUCAAUUAUGACGAUUCCUUCUUGGUGUUGCAAUUUUCACAAACCAAAGGUCUCCAGGGCUAUCUGCCUAAGGAGAAGGAUGCCUUCGUGAAGCAAUUUCUAAGGGAAAUUGGGUGGAAUUGGAAAACAACAAAACUCCUUGCUGCCAGCCCGUUCGCUAGAACCGAAUUACCUGUGUUAAGUAACUUCACUGCUCUGCCACUCGUGGUGUUAUAUUUAUAACUGACUUAACCCCUUUGUGAUGAGCAUCUCAGUCACCAAAGCGCUUUCUUGGGACGGCAUGCUAAAAGAUCUUGUUGGGUGGAGCAAUCUGCACUGUUGUUCCAAUUUUUGCAACAUUAUCAGAGGGACACCCAGUAAAGGGACCUGUUUCCGCUCUGCACCGGUUCGCUCCUGCUUAAACAUGCUUAGUGCAGAGACCUGAUCGACAAAGGGAGACAUUGAGGACAGUACCUCCCAAGCUCAUGCCGUCCAGAAGCCCAGACCUCCAAAGCAGCUGGAUUACAGCACCACGCCGCCGAUGCCGGUUUCAUAUUAUUCCCAAAUGAAGUUGGAUCUUCCAGAUCAUAUGCUUUCAUUCCAAACUUUAUAUUGAACUCAACUUAACUCAGUUAUUGAUUUUGUGUCUUUAAGAUUUCUAGUUUCAUUAUAUUCCCAAAUGAAGUUGGAUGUUUAAGAUCAGCCAUAUGCUUUCAUUCCAAACUUUAUAUUGAACUCAGCUUUACUCAGUUGUUGAUUUUGUGUCUUUAAGAUUUCUAGUAA